GUGUUUGCCUCGGUAGCAUAUAUACUAAAAUUGGAAUGAUACAGAGAAAAUUAGCAUGGCCCUUGUGCAAGGAUGACACGCAAAUUGGUGAAGCGUUCCAUAUUUCU